AGAGUUUGAUCCUGGCUCAGAUUGAACGCUGGCGGAAUGCUUUACACAUGCAAGUCGAGCGGCAGCGCGGGGCAACCUGGCGGCGAGCGGCGAACGGGUGAGUAAUACAUCGGAACGUACCCAGUUGUGGGGGAUAGCCCGGCGAAAGCCGGAUUAAUACCGCAUACGACCUGAGGGUGAAAGUGGGGGAUCGCAAGACCUCACGCAGUUGGAGCGGCCGAUGGCGGAUUAGCUAGUUGGUAGGGUAAAGGCCUACCAAGGCGACGAUCCGUAGCGGGUCUGAGAGGACGACCCGCCACACUGGAACUGAGACACGGUCCAGACUCCUACGGGAGGCAGCAGUGGGGAAUUUUGGACAAUGGGGGAAACCCUGAUCCAGCCAUUCCGCGUGAGUGAAGAAGGCCUUCGGGUUGUAAAGCUCUUUCGGCAGGAACGAAACGGUCUUUUCUAAUACAAGAGGCUAAUGACGGUACCUGAAGAAGAAGCACCGGCUAACUACGUGCCAGCAGCCGCGGUAAUACGUAGGGUGCGAGCGUUAAUCGGAAUUACUGGGCGUAAAGCGUGCGCAGGCGGUCCUAUAAGACAGAUGUGAAAUCCCCGGGCUUAACCUGGGAACUGCGUUUGUGACUGUAGAACUUGAGUGUGGCAGAGGGGGGUAGAAUUCCACGUGUAGCAGUGAAAUGCGUAGAGAUGUGGAGGAAUACCGAUGGCGAAGGCAGCCCCCUGGGUCAACACUGACGCUCAUGCACGAAAGCGUGGGGAGCAAACAGGAUUAGAUACCCUGGUAGUCCACGCCCUAA
rnacentral:rRNA from 1 species